UACGGAGGGUGCGAGCGUUGUUCGGAAUCACUGGGCGUAAAGGGCGUGUAGGCGGUCCGCUAAGUCUGAUGUGAAAGCCCGGGGCUCACCCCCGGAAGGGCAUUGGAAACUGACGGACUCGAGUCCCGAAGAGGAGGGUGGAAUUCCUGGUGUAGCGGUGGAAUGCGCAGAUAUCAGGAAGAACACCAACGGCGAAGGCAGCUCGCUGGGACGGUACUGACGCUGAGACGCGAAAGCGUGGGGAGCGAACAGG
rnacentral:rRNA from 1 species